GCCGAGAUAGCUCAGUCGGUUAGAGCAGCGGAAUCAUAAUCCGCGUGUCGGGGGUUCGAAUCCCUCUCUCGGCACUA
rnacentral:tRNA from 1 species